rnacentral:rRNA from 1 species
CAAAAGCGUACACCAAUGUUGUUGCAGUUAAAAAGCUCGUAGUUGGAUUUCUGGCUGGAGAGACCGGUCCGGACUCAUCGUAGUCCGUGCACUUGUGUUUCAUCCGGCCUUCCUUAUGGAGAACGCGUACUUGGGUUCAUUCUCAGGGCGCGGGAUUCAUAUCGUUUACUGUAAACAAAGGGAAGCGUUCCAAGCAGGCACUUAUGCUUUGAACUUAUUAGUAUGGAAUAAUAAGAUAGGACUUUGGUGCUAUUUUGUUGGUUUGCACACCAGAGUAAUGAUUAAGAGGGACAGCCGGGGGUGUCCGUAUUUAAUUGUCAGAGGUGAAAUUCUAGGAUUUCUUAAAGACGAACUACUGCGCAAGCAUUCACCAAGAAUGUUUUCAUUG